AAUCCAGACUCCUACGGGAGGCAGCAGUGGGGAAUAUUGCACAAUGGGGGGAACCCUGAUGCAGCGACGCCGCGUGGGCGAGGAAGUAUUUCGGUAUGUAAAGCCCUAUCGGCAGGGAAGAAGAAAUGACGGUACCUGAAUAAGAAGCACCGGCUAAAUACGUGCCAGCAGCCGCGGUAAUACGUAGGGGGCGAGCGUUAUCCGGAUUCACUGGGGGUAAAGGGAGCGUAGACGGCCAUGCAAGCCAGGGGUGAAAGCCCGGGGCCCAACCCCGGGACUGCCCUUGGAACUGCAUGGCUGGAGUGCGGGAGGGGCAGGCGGAAUUCCUGGUGUAGCGGUGAAAUGCGUAGAUAUCAGGAGGAACACCGGCGGCGAAGGCGGCCUGCUGGACUGCGACUGACGUUGAGGCUCGAAAGCGUGGGGAGCGAACAGGAUUAGAUACCCCGGUAC
rnacentral:rRNA from 1 species